AUGGAGCUGCAAGCCCAUGCCAUACAAAAAUUGAGCCCUUUAAUUACCCCCACCCCCACCCCGCCGCCCUCUCAAAUACAAGACAAAACAUUUGUGGUAGGUUCUUCGCAACUCCUCCUUGUUUCCUUCCUGAAUUAGGGAUGUCUUACAAGACAAAAAUCUUGAGGUAAAAGGCCUUUCAUAUCUGAGAGCAUCUAUAUCUGGGUAAUGGUGAGAGAGAGAAAUGCAUUUCCAUUAGGAAGCAUGGCCACAGUGGUACUAAAAGCACGAAUAGACUAAACACGGAGAGGCAGAGAGCCUGCACCCAUCAAUCAGCUUUGAUUUUUAUGAAGCCACGGUUACCAUGAGGUGCAUCCGAGUGCUCUCAAGCCCGUUUACCAAGGGAAGGGGCCUGUAAUUUCAUAGCCCAUUUCUGCCCUGACCUUAGUGGAUGACCUUGAGGAUAGGUUGAGAUUUUCAGUAGAAGCUUCUAAAAUAGCAAAUGACUUGGAACCCAAAUUCUCCAUGCUUGGGCUCACCAACAUGCCCUGGCCCACAUUGGCUAUAAUGCUCUGGUACCAAGUACUUAAUCCUCAAAAGGACUCCUUUUUCCUAGAGGCCUUUCCUGAAUCCCCCUGCCCAUACCCAGAACGCCUCCUUUCCAUACUGCCACGUCCCCCGCGAGCACUUCCACUCGCAUCUUGUUCCGACUGUUGCUUGUGUGCCUGUGAGCUCCCCGAGUUCAGUGACCAUGUCUUUUGCAUUCCCAGCAUCUAGGUCUGAAGACAUGCUUUCUUAAUGAAUUAAUCAGUGUUUGGCAGACAAUAGCCAGGUAUGUGAAAAAGAUAGGAGAAAUUAAUCACAGAUGAAAUCAAUAGACAUUUCCUGCACAUGAUAGGCACAGUGCCAGACCAGUACGCUUCAUUUGCAAGACUCUGUUCUUGUCAUGAAAGGUCCUUAUAAUUUGGUGAAGAAGACAAUAUAUUGACACAAUGAAGUUAAAUAGCAGUAAGGUUUAAAUAAUAGUUCAAAAGAGCAAUAAAAGAAAAUCAGGGCCUGUGAUCGGUUUGUCCAGUUAUGUGAGUGGCCAUCCGUAUGGGGAAGUGCUGGCCGGGGAUUGAAGUCUCAGACAAGCACUGGCAGCUAACCUAGGAAAGGGAGUCUGAGUGAUAAUGAUAAUGUCAAUCCCAGGCAGCUUCAUUCCUGAAGGAGAAAAACCAGUCUGGCCAGUGGCAAUUCCAAGUGUGUCACGUAGCUGGUUUGUUUUCUUAAUUUACUCUAUGAAAUGGUUUUCUCUAAUGGCAUGCCAUUGACGAAAUGCGCCAUAAUGUCUCCAUCCAUCACCUCCAAAUGCUUUUGCAUGCAUCAGUUGUUGACUUGUUUUCUCCCGUUCAGCACAUAAAUGAGAGGAAUGAUUUAUCCAAGGCCACCAGUUACUCUUCUGUGGAAUCUGAAAUAGCUCUCUGGAGAAAUACUGCCCUGAGCACAUGUUUCUUUAUACUGUUCUCAACUUGUCUUGGAGGGUGACUUUGGCCUGAGCUGCACUGAUGUCCUUCUGACCAGUGUUUCCUGGGGAGCCGGUCAAGGUGUCCACUGUGGUCUGUGACUCUCGGAUGAAAGGGCUUGCAUUCCUGUGGUGUGACCACUAGGGUUGCAUUAUGAGGUAUGGAAGCCAGGGCUUUGGCUGUGUGGGCAUUUGGACAAGCAAUGAUUCUUCCAUGAGUUCUCUUGAACUCACUCUUACCAGGAAGAGAAAAGAUAUUGCAUGCACGAGUGCAGUUCCUUCCUUCUUUCAAUUUGCCCCACUUCCUUGAACUCCCCAUGAGGGAGACAUUUGGCCUCUCACCCCUCAGUUUUGCAUGGCUUAGCAGAUCAGAAAUGGAAGAUAAAUAGGAACAUCAAGAUAAUUCUUACCCGCUGAAGGUUCCUUGAAAGAAGGCGGAGUCUUGCAUUUCCUAAGUAAGCUCUAGUACCGACUCAAACACCAGAAGGGGACCACUUCACAAGGUUUUUGUCUUAUUAGAUGAUGACAAUAAUGG
rnacentral:lncRNA from 1 species